UGGGGAAUAUUGCACAAUGGGCGCAAGCCUGAUGCAGCCAUGCCGCGUGUGUGAAGAAGGCCUUCGGGUUGUAAAGCACUUUCAGCGAGGAGGAAGGUGGUGAGCUUAAUACGCUCAUCAAUUGACGUUACUCGCAGAAGAAGCACCGGCUAACUCCGUGCCAGCAGCCGCGGUAAUACGGAGGGUGCAAGCGUUAAUCGGAAUUACUGGGCGUAAAGCGCACGCAGGCGGUUUGUUAAGUCAGAUGUGAAAUCCCCGGGCUCAACCUGGGAACUGCAUUUGAAACUGGCAAGCUAGAGUCUCGUAGAGGGGGGUAGAAUUCCAGGUGUAGCGGUGAAAUGCGUAGAGAUCUGGAGGAAUACCGGUGGCGAAGGCGGCCCCCUGGACGAAGACUGACCGCUCAGGUGCGAAAGCGUGGGGAGCAAACAGGAUUAGGAUACCCUGGUAGUCCACGCUGUAAACGAUGUCGAUUUUGGAGGUUGUGCCCUUGAGGCGUGGCUUCCGGAGCUAACGCGUUAAAUCGACCGCCUGGGGAGUACGGCCGCAAGGUUAAAACUUAAGGAAUUGACGGGGUC
rnacentral:rRNA from 1 species